AAGUCGUAACAAGGCUGCCGUAGGUGAACCUGCGGAAGGAUCAUUAACACGUAUCCAACGUUUAAACCCCCGUGAACCUACAGCCCUAUUCCUGUGCGCCGUUCGGACAGCAAUCCCUAGUAAAUCAUUGUUGAACAGAGUUUGAUUUAGGGACCUCUGUACGGAAGGACUGCUGUUUGCGAGUGGUAGCGCAAGCAUCCUGGUGCCUUUUAGACGGUUAUCGUGUGGAAGUGACGAUAACGUUACCGUGUGUCAGUGACGGUAACCUGUCAACGAGGUGACUCCGAAACACGUUUGCUAGAGGUCACACGACCGGCAACCGGGAUCCAGGCCGAAAGGUCCCUAACCACCCCUCGCAAGAAUUUAGCGUGCACCUAACGGUCGUACGCACCCCCAAACUGAACAACUGUUAACAAUGGAUAUCUUGGUUCUC
rnacentral:misc_RNA from 1 species